rnacentral:lncRNA from 1 species
AGGUUCAGAGAUUUUGGAUCUUGAGGGGCUAACUUAUAUUUGUGCUAGGAUUGAGUCUAAGAUUAUGAGAUUGGGUCAAAUCAUAGGUGUACAUGGGCUUGAGUGAGCGCAAUCUUAUAUUGAGUUAGUCAGGAGAGUUUUUUUGGGUUGGAUCACAUUGAUCCUGUAUAUAAAGAUACAUUGUAUUCUGACUCAAAGAAUCGUAGAAAUAUUAAAUAAUUUUCUCCCUAACCUUCUCUCUCUUCCUUCCUCUCUCUCUUUGAUCUUCUCCACAUCCUAGCAGAA